GCCUAAAGCGUCCGUAGCCGGCUUUGUAAGUUUUCGGUUAAAUCUAUAUGCUCAACAUAUAGGCUGCCGGGAAUACUGCAAAGCUAGGGAGUGGGAGAGGUAGACGGUACUCCGUAGGAAGGGGUAAAAUCCUUUGAUCUAUGGAUGACCACCUGUGGCGAAGGCGGUCUACCAGAACACGUCUGACGGUGAGGGAUGAAAGCUGGGGGAGCAAACCGGAUUAGAUACCCGGGUAGUCCCAGCUGUAAACUAUGCAAACUCAGUGAUGCAUUGGCUUGUGGCCAGUGCAGUGCCGCAGAGAAGUCGUUAAGUUUGCCGCCUGGGAAGUACGUACGCAAGUAUGAAACUUAAAGGAAUUGGCGGGGGAGCACCACAAGGGGUGAAGCCUGCGGUUCAAUUGGAGUCAACGCCAGAAAUCUUACCCGGAGAGACAGCAGGAUGAAGGUCAAGUUGAAGCCUUUACCAGACAAGCUGAGAAGUGGUGCAUGGCCGUCGCCAGCUCGUGCCGUGAGGUGUCCUGUUAAGUCAGGUAACGAGCGAGAUCCUUGCCUCUAGUUGCCACCAUUACUCUCAGGAGUAGUGGGGCGAAUUAGCGGGACUGCCGUAGUUAAUACGGAGGAAGGAGAGGGCCACGGCAGGUCAGUAUGCCCCGAA
rnacentral:rRNA from 1 species